AUGGUAGUGUAAAUGUAAAUGUUGAUGGUUAGGUUAGGUGAACACUGUAAUAAAUGUGAUGGUUAGGUUAUGGUUGUGUAAUUAAGAUAAUAAAGUGUAGUUAUGGAUUGAUAGAUAUCUAUGGUCUUGUGUGUUAAUUGCGGUAGAUAUAUGUCUUCUCGAACUGGUUGUGAUCAAUGCUUCUCUUCCUCCAUUUAAACUCUGUCUUUG
rnacentral:lncRNA from 1 species